rnacentral:lncRNA from 1 species
UUGGAUUAUCAUUUUUCUGGUAACCUGUCUUAUGGUUGAGACAAGGUCUCAGUCAUUUUUUUUUCGAUUUAUUUCUAGCUUUUUCUUUGUUAUGGAUCGAAAACUCGUAGUUAUAUCUGCGCAUGGUCAAUUAAAUCAAAACAUCCGGUUUGAUUAGCCCACAUUGAGCUCCACAUUUUAUAGGCAUGUAUGGUUGUCUAGUUAACUGUUUAGGUUCAAAUAAUUAUUACAAAGUCCCUGACGGGAUAUCUUGUCCAAUUUAAAAGUCUACCGGAAUGUUUUUUCAUUGAAAAUGUUGUUGAAUUUAAAGCACCACCAAAAAUGAACUAAGCACCAGAGAAAGAAGCAUCUGUCUUAAGGUCUAACAUCCAGGGCUGGGGUCCAAUAUCAUUAAAAAAGUUCAUAUCAGCACCAUCAAAAAAAAACUCACCAUUACAGAUGAUAGCUUAAAUUCCACCACAAUGUCCAAUAAACAGGAAGAUGGGUCUACAAAACUCUUUUGGGGUCUAUGUUGAUUUGUAGGGCCCAUUAACCUGCAAACACUUUUAUCCAAUCCUAAGUAUAAAGGUCUACUAUGGUAAAUGUAUAUUUCGUUAAAAAAAAGUAACAAGCACCACCAAAAAUAAUGUAACUUCGCUCCCGUUAGUCCAACCAAUGGAUAUAGUUGACUGAAACACUCUUUGGAGUUGUAAGUUGGUUAGUUAUGCUCAUUAGUCCACAGGCACAUAUGGUCCAAUCUACACAAGUCCUGGGGUCUGUUGGUGUAUAUAUCAUUUAAGAAAAAUAUAAGCACCACAGAAAAAAACUUAGCACCACGGGAGGUAGCUUCCCUCUGAUUAGUCCAACUGACGUGUAAAGGGAUGAGAGGCGGGUCUAAAGCACUCUAUUGGGGUCUAAGAUUGUUUGUUAAGCUAAUUAGUCCACAGGCACAUAUGGUCUAAUCUACACAAGUCCUGGGGUCUGUUGGUGUAUAUAUCAUUUAAGAAAAAUAUAAGCACCACAGAAAAAAACUUAGCACCACGGGAGGUAGCUUCCCUCCAAUUGGUCCAACUGACGUGUAUAGGGGUCUAAAGCACUCUAUUGGGGUCUAAGAUGGUUUGUUAAGCUCAUUAGUCCACAGGCACAUAUGGUCCAAUCUACACAAGUCCUGGGGUCUUUUGGUGUAUAUAUCAUUUAAGAAAAAUAUAAGCACCACAGAAAAAAACUUAGCACCACGGGAGGUAGCUUCCCUCUGAUUAGUCCAACUGACGUGUAUAGGGAUGAGCCGGGUCUAAAGCACUCUAUUGGGGUCUAAGAUUGUUUGUUAAGCUAAUUAGUCCACAGGCACAUAUGGUCCAAAUCUACACAAGUCCUGGGGUCUGUUUGUAUAUAUCAUUUAAGAAAAAUAUAAGCACCACAGAAAAAAACUUAGCACCACGGGAGGUAGCUUCCCUCCAAUUGGUCCAACUGACGUGUAUAGGGGUCUAAAGCACUCUAUUGGGGUCUAAGAUGGUUUUUUAAGCUCAUUAGUCUACAGGCACAUAUGGUCCAAUCUACACAAGUCCUGGGGUCUGUUGGUGUAUAUAUCAUUUAAGAAAAAUAUAAAGCACCACAGAAAAAAAACUUAGCACCACGGGAGGUAGCUUCCCUCCAAUUGGUCCAACUGAUGUAUGGGAUAGGGGUCUAAAGCACUCUAUUGGGGUCUAAGAUGGUUUGUUAAGCUCAUUAGUCCACAGGCACAUAUGGUCCAAUCUACACAAGUCCUGGGUCUUUGGUGUAUAUAUCAUUUAAGAAAAAUAUAAGCACCACAGAAAAAAAACUUAGCACCACGGGAGGUAGCUUCCCUCCAAUUGGUCCAACUGACAUGUAUAGGGGUCUAAAGCACUCUAUUGGGGUCUAAGAUGGUUUGUUAAGCUCAUUAGUCCACAGGCACAUAUGGUCCAAUCUACACAAGUCCUGGGUCUUUUGGUGUAUAUAUCAUUUAAGAAAAAUAUAAGCACCACAGAAAAAAAACUUAGCACCACAGGGGAUUAGCUUCCCUCCCAUUGGUCCAACUGACUUGUAUAGGGGUCUAAAGCACUCUAUUGGGGUCUAAGUUGGUUUGUUAAGCUCAUUAGUCCACAGGCACAUAUGGUCCAAUCUACACAAGUCCUGGGGUCUUUUGGUGUAUAUAUCAUUUAAGAAAAAUAUAAGCACCACCAAAAAUGGACUUAGCACCACGGGAGGUGGUUUCACACCAAUUGGUCUAACAAACAUGUAAAAGGAUCUAUAAUGCUCUUUGGUGUUCUAAGUUGGUUUGUAAGGCUCAUUGGUCCAAAAGCAACUGUGGUCCAAUAUGCAUUAGUCCAGGGUUUCAGGAUAUAUAUUAAACUAAAGAAAAAUAUAAGCACCACCAAAAAGAGACUUAGCACCACAGUAGUUAGCUUCCCUUCCUUUGGUCCAACAGAUGGGUAUAGGGGUCAAAAUACUCUUUGGGGUUGUAAGUUGGUUUGUAUGGCUCAUUGGUCCACAGGCAACUUUGAUCCACUCUUCAAGUCAAGAGGUCUUUUAUAUUAUAUUUUAUUUGAUAAAAAUAUAAGCACCACCAAAAACAAACUUUGCAUCUCAAGAGGUAGCUUCCCUCCCAAUGGUCCAAAGGAUGGGUAGUGGGUCUAAAAUAGUCUUUGGGGUUCUUAGUUGGUUUGUAAGGCCUGUCUAAAAUCAACUGUGGUCCAAUCUACAUUAGGCUAGGGGUCUCUGGGUAUAUUUCACUGAAGAAAAAUAUAAGCACCACCAAAAAGAAAUGUAGCACCACAGGAGGUUACUUCCCUCCAUUUGGUCCAACAGAUGGGUAUAGGGGUCUAAAUACUCUUAGGGGUACUAAGUUGGUUUGUAGGCUCAUUGGUCAACAGGCAACUGUGGUCUAAUCUUUAAGUUAAGGGUUCUCAUAGGGUGUAUUUCAUUAAAGAAAAAAUAUAAGCACCAAGAAAAACAAACUAAGCACCAUGGGAGGUAGCUUUCCGCUCGUUGGCCCAACAGACAGAUUUAGGGGUCUAACAUAUUCUUUGGGUCUAAGAUGAUUUGAAAAGCUCAUGUGGUUCAAUCUUCUAGUCCAGAGGUCUGUUGUAGUAUAUUUCAUUUAAGAAAUAUAAGCACCAUCAGGCACGAACUAAGCACCAUGGGAGGUAGCUUUCCUCUCAGUGGUCCAUCAGAUAGGUUAAGGGGUCUAACCCACUCUUUUGGGUCUAAGAUGAUUUGAAAAGCACAUGUGGGGCAAUCUUCUAGUCCAGAGGUCUGUUGUGGUAUAUUUCAUUAAAAAAAUAUAAUAAGCACCACCAAAAAUGAACUUAGCAACACGGAUGAUUGCUUCCACUGCCUUGAUCCAAUAAACAGGUAUAGGGAUGUAAAAAACACUUUGAGAGGUCUAUGUUGAUUUAUAUGGCCCAAUGUCUGUGUCCAAUCUACAAGUCCAGGAGUUUUAUGAUAUAUUUCAUUAAAGAAAAACUUGAUUUUGUUUUACAGGGCCAUUUGGUCUACAUGUAUGCACAAAAUGUUACUGACAGGUCUGUAUCCUUAAAGCUGUGUAAAUGCAAACAAAUGUUGUGAGGAGAUUUUAAAGCCAGAAAAAUUGUAUUUCUUAUGAUAAUUCUCCAUUGCUCUCCCUGUCUUCAAGGCAAAAACCCUCUAAAGGAGCACAUGAAAUAGUAUGAAAUAAGCACCUUAAAACAUGAAGUAACUUUGUAAAAAAGAAGAAAAAAACAAAUAUGAUAUUCAGCAAUGAUAACAGGCUGCUGACUUAGAACAGUCACAUAUAGAAAAACAUAAAUAACAUGACAUGUUCAUUAUGGUGUGAUAUUUAAAAUCACUAUGCUAAAUUAUUGAUUCUUAAUUGUACAUCAUUUUUAUGAAAUUGUGUGUCUAACUAUAUAUCUAAAUCUUGUUUUUCUUUCCACAGAUUAUCCAAAUUGACGUCAAAAGUGUUCAGAUAUCAGAUGUACUACAGCUAAAGAAUGAAAUUAAUUGUGGUCAUUUCACAGCUUUUGCCUACAGUCAGCUUUUUAUGGUAGGAUAAUAUGCACGUCUUAAGUAUUAAUAGUGUAUACAAAUGUAAAAUAAAUCAAUGUAUACACACCUUUUAUCAAUUAAUAAUUUGUUCAUUCAUUUUCACCAUAUUUUGAUAAAUUACAUUGCACAUAAUCUUAAAUAAAUUAUCACAUAUUAAAGUAAACAAUAAGUAUAUCCAAUUGGAAGAAUAUAAGUUUCAAGUAGACAAUUAUUCUAUAAUAUUACAAAAGUGGCAGAUGACCUGUAGUUGUUAAUUUCUGUAUCAUUUGGUCUCUUGUAAAGAGUUGUCUCAUAGGCAAAUACAUUUACAAUCUGUUAGGGAGCUGAUUUUACUGAUUCAGACAAUUUAUUUCAUUCUAUCUUUGAUUGAUUAUGUAGCACUAAACAAUUGUCACAAGCAAACAUGUAUUUGAAUUUCAAGUUAUUAUUUUAAAUAAAUUGAGGCUUUAUUAUUUCAGUGAAUUAAAGAAUGAAGAGAAAUCAACUUAUUUAUACCCAAGCUGACCAACUGUCAAGAAAGAAGAAGACAAGGCAACUCCAUCUGAAGGAAAUUAAAAGAAAAGAUUUAAUCAUUACAACAAUAGAUGUGAAAAUGUUAUUUUUUCAAUCUAAAACACACAUAACAAAAAUACACUUAAGAAAUACUGUUCAAGAUUGAUUCUUAAAAUAUCAGUCUUACUUUUUUUAUAUACUUGAAGAUGUAUUGUAAAAGUAAAUUUGUUAGAUUAAAGUUUUUCAAGGCUUGAAUUAUCUCCCCUUAUUAAUCUCCAAAAAACUUUAUGCAAGACUAUUUGUUUUCCAACUCCUAGAAUUCUAAAUGUUUAAAGUUGAAAACAUGUGUGUCAAAAUUUGUUUCUUCUUUGUUUACAGUUUUAUGAUUGGAGUUCAACCUUUAAUCUCAAGAACAAAAUAAAGGAAAUCUACUGUGCACAAAAGUCUUCCUCUUUUUUUUUAUGAAUUGUAAAGAUAAUUUUUGAAGACGGACAAUUUAACACUGUAUUAGAGAAAUUUAGUUUGCAGAAAUUCAAGAUACAUUUUGUAAAACCAAACAAUAUGACUUUUUUUACUUAAAUUAGUUCUUAUUUCAAAAUCAAAUGACUAAGGGAGAUAACUCUACUUCUAAAUUAUUUAUCUGAAAUAGUAAAUUAAAGUGGCUCAUUUUAGUAUUAUCACUGACUGAUAGAUUUGUCCCUUAAUAGAGAUUAAUGUUCCUAACAAUUGAUGCUAACUUAUAUUUGCUGAUGCAAAUUAUCCCUUAAUUUUAGAUUUUUACUUUUUAAAUUAAAUAUAUGUUGUUUUCAGGAGUUGUGUCCCUUUAAUAUUUUUUUAUUUAUCAGAAUAUGUUUGGUAUAUAUGUAAUCAAGGCGGUAUUUUAUGCUGAUUACAUUAUCUUUAUUUAUAUUCAAGGUUGUCAAACAAUCCUGUAGUUGUAGUAUUUUUGAAUUUAGAGAUGAUCUGUAUAAAUAUGUAUUAAAAUUAAUUGUUUCUUUUGCACGCCCCCUCAAUUACAUAGUAAUGGCUUAUUUUUUUUAUACCAACCUUAAUGGUGAAAGUAUUCAGAAUUUGAUGAAUUCUGAAAUUCUGCAUUUUAGAUCUGUGGUAAUAAAUAAGUUAUUUGAAUUUGAAACAUCAUUUAAGUUGACAUGUUACAUUUU